rnacentral:pre_miRNA from 1 species
UGCAGAAGUAAACAGGGCGUGAUAUUGAUUCGGCUCAUACUCCAAUCUUUGCUUACAAAUUGAAUUAAGCCUCUGACAAGAGAACGAGCCGAAUCAAUAUCACUCUUGUAUGCUUUUUG